rnacentral:lncRNA from 1 species
AGAAUCACAGUGACGGUCGGCCUGAAACUUUCCCCCAGAAAACAUCCUCCCUCCCUGUGAGUGAUAGAGGUAGACAGCGUUCUGUUUACUGAUGGUGACGAUGUAAUUAUGUAACUUAGAGCAAAAAACGUAACUUUGACACCUUCCAGGAUGUUUGGUGGGUCUGGAUCUCAACAACACAUCAGAACAACAUCCAUAUGAUUAUAAACAGUCAGCAGGUUCGUGAUCAGAUUAACAGGUGACACUGAGAAACACACGGAUGUCAACAUCAUGAUGUGUACCGUCACACCACUUCUGGUUCUGCUUGGCCGACAGGCUGUUUAAAUAAACUGGACACAGUUGAGCACCUUUCAGAUGGAGCUGUUGGUUCAGUGUGAACAAACAAAGUUGAGCCUUCAUUGUGGAGAUAAUGUGGAUUCUGUGUAUGAAAAUAAACAGACCUUCGUUCAGUCCCUGUGAGACGUGAGAUUCUUCAUGUGGAUUGAUAAAAGUUGCCAGACUUAGUAAAGAAACGCGGUUUUUAUCCUCAUCUUCUCCAGAACCACAGUCCAGCUGGCUGCUCUGUGUGACACCAGAGAAGAAACACACAGAACUAUCCCAACAUACUGUUGUUGGUCUGUUUGCUUUGUCCGGUUAUUUAUUCAGCACCAGAGUUUGACUAACAGCUAAUGGACCACAGUUUAAUGGACCUGAGUUUGUCUGAUCAAGUCUUCAAGGAUCAGUUUAGUCCAUGUGCAGUAGUUCUUCAGGUUGUUGCCCUCCCUGACUCAGUUCUGAUCCAGGUUGUCAUAAACACUUCUGACUCAAUCUGAGGCACCGUCUUCAUUUCACUUCAACAGAUUUUCUUUCUCUGGUGAAGCAGCAGCGUCCUCGCUCGACUUUGUGCGACGGCGAUAAGCAGCUCCAGUCCCAGUCAGUGAAACAGUUUCAUCAGGUGCAUCAGCUGCUGAGAGGUUAGAAAGAGAAAGAGAGACAUGAACUGAUAUUAUUAUUGUUGUUUUUAUGAGUUAUUAUCUUUGAAUGAUCUCAGUUGGCAUUUCCAAACUAGCUCGCUGUUAUCAACUAAAUGCAGCUCACCCUCCUCCAGAACUGGGUCUUGGGCAGGUUCUGCUGCAUCUACAUCUUUAUGGCAGAGGCACAAUUGAUGAGAGAUUAUUGAUUUC